GGGUCGUUAGCUCAGUUGGUAGAGCAGUUGACUUUUAAUCAAUUGGUCGCAGGUUNNCUCAGAUGCUGAACGUGAAGGAUAACGUUGCGUCAGCAACGGCCCGAAGGGCGAGGCAAAGCCGAGUCAUCCUGCACGACCUACCA
rnacentral:tRNA from 1 species